UCUUUUGACAAUUGAAAUCAAAAUAUAAUUCAAUUUGUUAGUAUUAAUCAUUCACGAAUAUUGCAUUGAAAAAAAUAUACAAGUAUAUAUAUUGAAGAUACAUUAUAUUUUUUGUUUAUUACCUUUAUCCUCACUUUUUAUGACAGUAAUAGCUGAUGUAAAGGUUUGGUUAAUGGAGCUGGUAUUCACUAUCGUCACUGUGUCUAGCACUUUCUCUAAUGUUUGAGUUUGUUUCUCAAUAGUCUGAUUCCAUUCAUUUUCUCCUCUAGAAUUAAGUAUUGGAUACUGUAAUAGAUCGCAACAAUCAAAGUAAUUCUUAACUCUAUAUUUGUGUCCUGAAUGAGCAUGGAUAAUUAUCUCUCUUUCUAAUGGAC
rnacentral:lncRNA from 1 species